AAUUGACGGGGGGGCUCACACAAGCGGUGGAGCAUGUGGCUUUAAUNCGAGNCAANGCGAAGAACCUUAUCCUGGGCUUGACAUCAAUGGAUUAACUCUGUGAAAGCAGAGCCACGCCUUCGGGUGGAACAUUGACAGGUGCUGCAUGGCUGUCGUCAGCUCGUCCGUGAGGUGUUGGGUUAAGUCCUUGAACGAGCGAAACCCUUGUCCUUAGUUGCCAGCACGUAAUGGUGGGGACUNUAAGGAGACCGCCGGUGUCAAACCGGAGGAAGGUGGGGACGACGUCAAGUCAUCAUGGCCUUUAUGCCCAGGGCUGCACACGUGCUACAAUGGUGCGUACAAAGGGAAGCAAACUCGCGAGGGUAAGCAAACCCCAAAAAGCGUACCUCAGUUCGGAUUGCAGGCUGCAACUCGCCUGCAUGAAGCCGGAAUCGCUAGUAAUCGCAGGUCAGCUAUACUGCGGUGAAUAUGUUUCUGAGCCUUGUACACACCGCCCGUCAAGCCACGAAAGCGGGGGGCGCCUAAUGUCGCUGAGCUAACCUUCGGGAAGCAAGCGCCUAGGGUGAACUCCGUGAUCGGGACGAAGUCGUAACAAGGUAGCCG
rnacentral:rRNA from 1 species